rnacentral:rRNA from 1 species
AUUAGCUAGUUGGUAGGGUAAAGGCCUACCAAGGCGACGAUCUAUAGCUGGUCUGAGAGGACGAUCAGCCACACUGGGACUGAGACACGGCCCAGACUCCUACGGGAGGCAGCAGUGGGGAAUAUUGGACAAUGGGCGCAAGCCUGAUCCAGCAAUACCGCGUGUGUGAAGAAGGCCCUAGGGUUGUAAACGGCUAACUCCGUGCCAGCAGCCGCGGUAAUACGGAGGGUGCGAGCGUUAAUCGGAAUUACUGGGCGUAAAGCGUGCGUAGGCGGUUCGUUAAGUCAGAUGUGAAAGCCCCGGGCUUAACCUGGGAACUGCAUUUGAAACUGGCGAACUAGAGUUUAAUAGAGGGGAGUGGAAUUUCAGGUGUAGCGGUGAAAUGCGUAGAUAUCUGAAGGAACACCAGUGGCGAAGGCGACUCCCUGGAUUAAAACUGACGCUGAGGUACGAAAGCGUGGGUAGCAAACAGGAUUAGAUACCCUGGUAGUCCACGCCGUAAACGAUGUCAACUAGCCGUUGGUCCUAUUUACAGGAUUAGUGGCGCAGCUAACGCAUUAAGUUGACCGCCUGGGGAGUACGGCCGCAAG